AGCUCCAAUAGCGUAUAUUAAAGUUGUUGCGGUUAAAAAGCUCGUAGUUGGAUUUCUGCCGAGAUCGUCUGGUCCGCCCUCUGGGUGAGUAUCUAGUUCGGUCUGGGCAUCUUCAUGGAGAGCGUAGCUGCACUUGACUGUGUGGUGCGCAAUCCAUGACUUUUACUUUGAGGAAAUUAGAGUGUUUCAAGCAGGCACACGCCUUGAAUACAUUAGCAUGGAAUAAUAAGAUAAGACCUCGGUUUUAUUUUGUU
rnacentral:rRNA from 1 species